GUGAAUCAUCGAAUCUUUGAACGCACAUUGCGCCCUGUGGUAUUCCGCAGGGCAUGCCUGUUCGAGCGUCAUAAUAACCAAUCUAGCUCUGCUAGGUGUUGGGCACCGCCAGCGCGCGGGUCUGAAAACCCCACAGCAGCGCUACCGAGCCUGAGCGUAGUAAUUCUCUCGCUAAAGGACCGGCAGACGCACGCUGAAUAAACCACAUCUAAGGUUGACCUCGGAUCAGGUAGGGAUACCCGCUGAACUUAAGCAUAUCAAUAAGCGGAGGA
rnacentral:misc_RNA from 1 species